UUGACUCCUUAUGAUAAUGGGUGAUUCUCUAUGGGGAUCGUCUGGUGGAGAGUGGACUGGUGGUGGUGAGUGAAUAGGUGGUGGAGGAGAGAGUACAGGUGGUGGUGGUGGUGGUGGUGGUGGUGGUAGAGAAUAGAUUGGUGGUGGAGGAGAGAGUACAGGUGGUGGUGGUGGAGAGUAGAUUGGUGGCGGUGGGGAGUAGAUGGGAGGCGGUGGAGAUUGACGCCUUACAAUAAUGGGUGAUUCUCUAUGGGGAUCAUCUAGUGGUGGCGGCGGUGGUGAAUGAACAGGUGGCAGAGGAGAGAGUACAGGUGGUGGUGGAGAAUAUAUUGGUGGCGGUGGGGAGUAGAUGGGAGGUGGUGGAGAUUGACGCCUUAUAAUAAUGGGUGAUUCUCGAUGGGGAUCGUCUGGUGUCGGUGCUGGGGCUAGAGGCUUUGGUGGUGGUGAGUGUACUGGAGGUGAUGGAGAACUUACUGGUGGUGGUGGUGGAGAACAGCUUGGUGGCGAUGGCGAGUGGAUGAGAGGCGUUGGAGAUUGUACUGGAGGAAGUGGGGAUGGAUGCCAUAUAAUAGGUGAUUCCUUAUGGGGAUCUUCUAAUGUUGGUGUCGGGGUUAGAGGCUUUGGAGGUGAUGAGUGAACUGGAGGUGGCGGAGAACUUAUUGGUGGUGGAUAGACUGAUGGCGGUGGGGAGUAAAUGGAAGGUGGUGGAGAUGGAUGCCUUACAAUAAUAGGUGAUUCUCUAUGAGGAUCAUCUGGUGUUGGUGCCGGGGCUAGAGGCGUUGGUGGGUGCGAGUGAACUGGAGGUGGCGGAGAACUUAUUAGUGGUGGUGGUGGUGAAGAAUAGACCGGUGGCGGUGGAGAGUGGACUGGAGGUGGUGGUGAUUGUAUCGGAAGAGGUGGGGAUCGAUGCCAUAUAAUGGGUGAUUCUCUAUGGGGAUCUUCUGGUGUUGAUGCCGGGGCCAGAGGCUUUG
rnacentral:lncRNA from 1 species